rnacentral:rRNA from 1 species
AUACGUAGGGGGCGAGCGUUGUCCGGAAUGAUUGGGCGUAAAGGGCGCGUAGGCGGCCCGGUAAGUCUGGAGUGAAAGUCCUGUUUUUAAGAUGGGAAUUGCUUUGGAUACUGUCGGGCUUGAGUGCAGGAGAGGUAAGUGGAAUUCCCAGUGUAGCGGUGAAAUGCGUAGAGAUUGGGAGGAACACCAGUGGCGAAGGCGACUUACUGGACUGUAACUGACGCUGAGGCGCGAAAGUGUGGGGAGCAAACAGGAUUAAAUACCCUGGUAGUCCACACUGUAAACGAUGAAUGCUAGGUGUAGGGGGUAUCGACCCCUUCUGUGCCGCAGUCAACACAAUAAGCAUUCCGCCUGGGGAGUACGGCCGCAAGGUUGAAACUCAAAGGAAUUGACGGGG